UCUUGGAGUUAUGUAUGAUGCCCUCACAGAACUGAGUGAUCUGUCAAGGUUGCUCCAAAAGAGAGACAUGACGCUUCCUGACGCGGACAAGCUGCUGGCUCGACAGAUUCGUGUCUUUGAGUCCAUGGUUUCAACACCUGGCCCCUACACAACAUCUGCCCUCCAAGCUCAAACUGAGAAAUCAUUCAAGAACGUAGCCCUACAUGAUAAUGAAAAAAUAGUGAAAAUCAAUGCAGGACAGUUCUUCCGGAGCAUGGAAUGAAAUGCAGGAUGGCUCCAACAACUAGCUCUUAUGUCAGCACACAAGCAAGCUGCUCAAAUAGAGGUGGUGACCAACUGAUGACAGACAUGAAGGUCCUUCAACCAGACAGUUGGCCUGAGGGACAGUUGGACAUACUCCAUGGUGAUGCAGCGGUGCUUCGUUUGUGUGACACACUAAAAGUAGAUAAAAGGGAAAGUAUCCAGGGAUUCCGGGAAUACAAGGAGCUAAGGGCAUCCCGGACACCAGCAACCCUGGAGCCUCUACUUAAAGCUGUCCACACCAUUGCGGUCUCCACCAGUGAAUGUGAACGAGCCUUCAGCAGCAUGAACGACAUUCUUACCGCCAAAAGGAACUCCCUUGCUAUAAGCCGACUGUCCAACCUUGUUUUUCUGAAAUGCAAUGGACCACCAUUAGAGCAGUUCAGUCCGCAGAGAUAUGUAAGGUCUUGGCUGGCAAAGGGAAGAAGAUCUGCAAGCGAAACAGCAUGCGAAGCCCCUGACCGCUCAAGCACAUCUGAGCCCAAGACCUGUUGGAGCCUUUUCUAAGAAGAAGAUCUACAGAUGCAUCAGUUCAUCAAUUCUUCAGUUCAUCCCCAGGGCAUACUGGUGCCAUUUCUUUAAGGAACAUGGAGUGCCCCACCCAGCUACGCAGAGCUCUCCAUUACAGGCCUGUUGACCUUUCGUCAUACACCGAAGCUGCCUUGAGC